GGGUUGUGAGGUUAAGCGACUAAGCGUACACGGUGGAUGCCCUGGCAGUCAGAGGCGAUGAAGGGCGUGCUAAUCUGCGAUAAGCGCCGGUAAGGUGAUAUGAACCGCAAUAACCGGCGAUACCCGAAUGGGGAAACCCAGUGUGACUCGUCACACUAUCAUGCAGUGAAUACAUAGCUGUAUGAGGCGAACCGGGGGAACUGAAACAUCUAAGUACCCCGAGGAAAAGAAAUCAACCGAGAUUCCCCCAGUAGCGGCGAGCGAACGGGGAGGAGCCCAGAACCAUCAUCAGCUUGUGCAUCAGUGGAAGCGUCUGGAAAGUCGCAGGGUACAGGGUGAUACUCCCGUACACAAAGGUGCACAGGCUGUGAGUUCGAUGAGUAAGGCGGGACACGUGGUAUCCUGUCUGAAUAUGGGGGGACCAUCCUCCAAGGCUAAAUACUCCUGACUGACCGAUAGUGAACCAGUACCGUGAGGGAAAGGCGAAAAGAACCCCGGCGAGGGGAGUGAAACAGAACCUGAAACCGUGUACGUACAAGCAGUGGGAGC
rnacentral:rRNA from 1 species